UACGAAGGGGGCUAGCGUUGCUCGGAUUUACUGGGCGUAAAGGGCGCGUAGGCGGCCACCGCAAGUCGACUGUGAAAUCUCCGGGCUUAACCCGGAAAGGUCAGCCGAUACUGCGGGGCUAGAGUGCAGAAGGGGCAACUGGAAUUCUCGGUGUAGCGGUGAAAUGCGUAGAUAUCGAGAGGAACACCUGCGGCGAAGGCGGGUUGCUGGGCUGACACUGACGCUGAGGCGCGAAAGCUAGGGUAGCAAACGGG
rnacentral:rRNA from 1 species